rnacentral:rRNA from 1 species
GAUGAACGCUGGCGGCGUGCCUAACACAUGCAAGUCGAGCGAACGGACGAUAAGCUUGCUUCUCUGAUGUUUGCGGCGGACGGGUGAGUAACACGUGUAUAACCUACUUAUAAUUCUGGGAUAAUUUCGGGAAACCGUAUCUUAUACCGGAUAAUAUUUUGCACCGCAUGGUUCAAAAGUGAAAUACGGCCUUGCUGUCUCUUAUAGCUGCUUCCGCGCUGCAUUAGCUAGUUGGUAAGGUAACGGCUUACCAAGGCGACGAUGCGUAGCCGACCUGAGAGGGUGAUCGGCCACACUGGAACUGGGACACGGUCAAGGCUCCUACGGGAGGCAGCAGUAGGGAAUCUUGCGCAAUGGGCGAAAGCCUGACGCAGCAAGGCCGCGUGAGUGAUGAAGGCCUUCGGAUCGUAAAGCUCUGUUAUUGGGGGAGAACAGCUGUGGAAGUAGAUGUGCACAUCUUGACGGUACCUAAUGAAAAAGCACCGGCUAACUACGUG